rnacentral:rRNA from 1 species
AGUGAACGCUGGCGGUAGGCCUAACACAUGCAAGUCGAACGGCAGCACAGUAAGAGCUUGCUCUUACGGGUGGCGAGUGGCGGACGGGUGAGGAAUACAUCGGAAUCUACUUUUUCGUGGGGGAUAACGUAGGGAAACUUACGCUAAUACCGCAUACGACCUACGGGUGAAAGCAGGGGAUCUUCGGACCUUGCGCGAUUGAAUGAGCCGAUGUCGGAUUAGCUAGCUGGCGGGGUAAAGGCCCACCAAGGCGACGAUCCGUAGCUGGUCUGAGAGGAAGAUCAGCCACACUGAAACUGAGACACGGUCCAGACUCCUACGGGAGGCAGCGGCGGGGACUAUUGGACAAUGGGACCAAGGCUAAUCCUGAAAUCCCGCGUGGUUGAAGAAGGCCUUCUGGUUGAAAUGACCUUUUGUUGGGACAGAAAAGCAGCAGGUUAAUACCCCGCUGUUCUGUCGGUACCCAAAGAAUAAGCACCGGCUAACUUCGUG